UGGGGCGCUUAAUAGGUGUAUUAAAGGUGGAAGAAGGCCCAUAUCUUUUUCUGUGGGUGCUUCAAGUGUUGUUGGAAGUGGAGGCAGCAGUGACAAGGGGAAGCUUUCCCUGCAGGAUGUAGCUGAGCUGAUUCGGGCCAGAGCCUGCCAGAGGGUGGUGGCCAUGGUGGGGGCCGGCAUCAGCACACCCAGUGGCAUUCCAGACUUCAGAUCUCCAGGGAGUGGCCUGUACAGCAACCUCCAGCGGUAUGAUCUCCCAUACCCCGAGGCCAUUUUUGAACUCCCAUUCUUCUUUCACAACCCCAAGCCCUUUUUCACUUUGGCCAAGGAGCUGUACCCUGGAAACUACAAGCCCAACGUCACCCACUACUUCCUCCGGCUGCUUCAUGACAAGGGGCUGCUUCUGCGGCUCUACACGCAGAACAUCGAUGGGCUUGAGAGAGGCUGACGUGAUGGCAGACAGGGUUCCCCGCUGCCCGGUCUGCACCGGCGUUGUGAAGCCCGACAUUGUGUUCUUUGGUGAGCCGCUGCCCCAGAGGUUCUUGCUGCAUGUGGUUGAUUUCCCCAUGGCAGAUCUCCUGCUCAUCCUUGGG
rnacentral:sRNA from 1 species